CCUCAGUUUUUAAGAUGCCGAUCUGAAAUUUUGCACACAUCUUUUUCUCCCAAAGAUUCUGCUCAUUUGUGAGAACCGCCGAUAUCGGACCACUAAAGCUGCCAUACAAAUUGAAGGGUCAAAGUCAAGUCCUUGUAUGAAAAACGUAUUUAUUGUACUUGUCGCGAUAACUUCAAGAAAUUUGGUAUGGAUUAUUUUACAAGCCAAUGCUACAAUAUACUUUUCAGAUUGGAUACUAUAACAUUAACCGUUUAAAAUAAAGUCCUUGAAUAAAAAACAUUUUAGAUCGUUUUCCAAAACAACGCCACAAUUGCCAUGUAUUCAUAUCGUUAAGUUCCCGUAUGGAAACGCUUUUUUGUAAAGGGUAUUAUAGUUUCGAUGUAACCGAAGUUAACGUUUUUUCUUGUAUUCUUAUUAAGUCAUUAAAUUAAAAGUAAUCAUUAUUAUCUGUCUCCGCUUCAACUGUCAAAUUUUUAGGAAAGGAAGGCAAAACAUACACUUACAAUGCUAAAUACUCAAUUUCUUUCACUUAAAGCAAUUCAAUAACAAAUUUAAAAGAAUAAAGAAGAAAAGCAAGAAAAAAUUCGAGCAAGUUGAACAUCAAAAGCUAUUCUAUAUUCAAGCAAUAUGAAGUAACAUAGAAGUAUUAAAAAAAAUUUACAAAAUACGCGUUUCGUAUCCAUAAAAUGAUAGCGACAGCAAAUUUUUGUACAGUUUUUAUGUACAUCGACUUGCCAUAAAUUCUGUUACAAAGUUUACAAUGCAUUGAUCGUUUUUCCCAAACGUCUACAAUUGGUGCCAGAAAGAGAAGUGGUCGUCCUUGUGUGAUUCGAACCCAUUCAGCCAUAAAAACUGUUAGCGAACGAAUUCGUAGAAAUCCCCUUAGAAAACAGCAAAUUAUGUCAAGUGAAAAAAAUGUAUCGAUCAGACCAAUAUCAAGACUUACAUGAAACAUGAAAGUAUCCUUUUUACAAAUGAAAAAAAUGUCACUGUUGAAGAAGUUUUUAAUAAAAAAAACGACAAAAUCAACGCCAAAACUUUCAAAGGCGCAAAAUAUAAUAUUCCAAAAUACAUGGGGACCAUUCAUCUGCUUUAAUAUUUUGGUGAGGAGUCUCGUGCAAAGGCGUUACACCUCCUCACAUCUGUGAAAAAAGGGUUAAAACUAAGGCAAAAGUGUACCAGCGGGAUGUUUUAGAAGGCGUGAUAAAGCAGUUAAACAAUACUCUCUUCGAUGGAGAGCAUUGUAUCUUCCAGCAAGAUUCUGCUCCAGCCAUCCAAGGCAAAAACGACCCACUAGUGUCUUAAAAGCAAUAUUCCUGGUUUCAUAAAUGCAGAUGAUUGGUCCUCUGGAAGUCCAGAUUUGAAUGCAAUGGACUACAGUUUGUGGUCUGAGUUGGAACACAUGGCCUAACGAAUAUCUAACAGAAAUUUAUAGAGUCUCAAAAUAUCUUUGGUUUGGGCAGCGUGGUUAAUACCAAUAGAAACUGUGCGUACUGCUAUUGAUCAAUGUCCGAAUCGUUUGAGGGCUUGUGUAAAAGCAAAAGAUGACCAUUUCGAAUCAAAUUUUGUAUAACACCCAUUUAAUAUAUGAAUUAUUAAAUAAACUUAACUUUAUUAAAAAUGUA